AAGACAGGAAUUGCAUGUGUAUCGCCAGAGAAUUGGGUACUUCAUGGUAUGUCCAUACUAUACAGCUGAUAAAAAGAAUGAGGAAGAUCCAUCUACACCUGCCAACAUGGAAAGACGGGCACAUCUUAGUUCUCCGUUUGGAAGACAAAGCAAUUUGAAUAACAGGGAUGGAGUCUCGCUUUGUUGCCCAGGCUGCAGCCUCGACCUCCUGAGCCCAAGCAAUCCUCCUACCUCACCUGAGUAUUUGCAGUACAGGUGCAAGCAACCACGCCCAGAUAUGGGAUGUCAGGCCUCUGAGUCCAAGCUAAGCCAUCAUAUCCCCUGUGACCUGCACGUAUACAUCCAGAUGGCCUGAAGCAACUGAGGAACCACAAAAGAUGACAUUCCAUCAUUGUGAUCUGUUCCUGCCCCACCCUAACUGAUCGAUUGACUUUAUGACAACACACUCUCCUAAUGCACUUUGUGAUAUUCCUCCGCCCUUAAGAAGGUACUUUGUAAUAUUCUCCCCGCCCUUGAGAAUGUACUUUGUGAGAUCCACCCCCUGCCCACAAAAAAUUGCU